AGUAAUCUGCCUGCCUCUGCCUCCUACAGUGCUGGGAUUACAGGUGUGUGCCACCACAGCCCAACAAGGUCGAGCUUCUUAGGAAGGAUCUCAGCCUUUGAACUGGACUGAAGGGAAGGUUGCCUGAGGGUAAGGCCGACCCAGCCAAAUUUACAACUUGUUGAAGAGCCUGAGGCAUUUUCUGCUCCUAGAAAGUAACAGAGUAAAAUCCCUGCUGUUACUGUGAUCCAGGGGGCUAGGGUCGAUCCUAAGCUGGCAGCUGAACUUGUCAGUGUCACCUACACGGUUUUGUAGAUGGCUCUCCACCUGUGGGUUGUGACCCCCAAAUGACCCUUUUACAGCGGUAGCAUAAGACCGUCUGUGUAUCAGAUAUUUACAUUAUGAUUCCUAACAAUAGCAAAAUUACAGUUAAGAGGUAGCAACAAAAUUAAUUUUAUGGUUGGGGGUCACCAAAACAUGAGGAAUUAUAUGAAAGGAUUGAAGCACUGGGAGAGUUGAGAACGACUGGUUUAGAGGCACAGAGGAGGCAAGACUGAAGAGAUUAUGACUUCUUCCUCUUCCGUUUCAAAGAGCCACAGAGGCCAGGCAGCAUGCGGCAGCAGAGCCACUGCAUGACGUUGUGAGAGACGGGGAUCGUCCGCUGAACUUGGAGCUCUCCGCUUCAGCUCGAAUAGAGGCUAAGUAAGCACCGGGGACCCUGUGUCUCUGCCGUGCCAACACUGAGAUUACAGGUACCCGUCACUCUAUCUGGCUUUUACAUGGAUGCUGAGAAUCUGCAUCAGGUCCCCAUGCUUGCGCUGACAAGGACUUUACCAGCCGAGCCAUCUCCCCAGCACCUUAGCGAACACUGCAAAGCGAUAAGUCAGAAUCAGAGGCCAUAUAUCUUACACGAGAGCCCAUGUUAUCAGCCUCUAUGCGUUUUCCCAGGAAAACACCCAUCCUAGUCCCUCUGCAUAACUUCAGUGCGUGCUGUGGGAAGCAGCUUGGGCCUUGUGGAGCAACUGUUUCUGCACCUGUGCUUUGAGGAUUGAGAACUGGAUUUGGCCUCUUCUCCCCUAUGCCCUGCAUGAUGAAGAAUGCAGCUCAGAACCAUGGUGGCAGUUUGUUCUGGAAUGAGGGUUUUCCCAGGACUUGGUUAUUUUAACAUUAAGCCUGGGACACAUCGUGACAUGGCUGGGAUGGUUGGCAGUUGACAUGUUUUUAAAGCAGUCUAAAUUUUAUAAUGAGAAGGCCAGAUAACUCUUGAACCACAUUUAAAAAAAAAUCAAUAAAAAUUAAAAACACGUUUGGAAAAGAUACACAAAAUGAUGAAUAACGAAUUAAAUAUAUCGUUCUCACACCUUCUGAGCCUGGGAUCUGGCGAGGGCUCAUCUCAUGGCAUCUUGAAGCAUCAUUUGUGACUCUUCCUUAGGACCAUCUGAAAAGCAGAAGUCACGUGAUAUGACAGGGAUUAGGAACUGGAAGGCGGUCUGUUCCAGACAAGUCAGCUUGGCAGCUAGAGAUGUCCAGCGAUGAAGGAUACAGGCUGCUGGGACAAAGCCCAGAGCCCCACCUCCUUUAAUCUAGUCCUAAGCAUGUGGCACCUGUCUCAAACACGCAUGGUGUUUAUUUCACUGUGUUGUAACCGCUUGUUUAUUGUUUGUGUCCCUUGCUAGACAGAAAGAUCAUGGAGGACAGCAUGCAGGGGUCUGGAGAUUUAGAGCUGUCCCUGGUCCCUGGUCCUAGCUCAGUGACUGUUGAAAGCAUCUGGGCUACAAAGGAGGUGUGUUUUCUCAAGGUUUGUGUUUGGCCUUUCUCCAUUCAGAACUAAAAUGUGACUUUCGAAGCCAUGUCUAAGGACAUCAGGUAUUCAAGUGGGCACGGGAGAGGCAUAACUCCCCACACUAUAGAAGGGUUUCCUGCUAAGCAAUUUCCAACCUUCUCUGCCUCUGGGGUCUCUCUGGACUCUUCCUCUCCACUCUGAUGCCUGCCUUGCUUUUGGAUUAUCUUGCUUUUGGAUCGCAAAUAGCUUAAAUUCAUCCUUAUUAUUUGACAGAAUGCCGGACAAAUUAAAAAACAAAUUAUUAUUUUUUUUUUGGUGGUGGGGGGGAGUAAUCUAAUUCACGUAAGUGGCAAGGCUUGGCUUCUGUAGGAGACCAUCCAAGAAUCGGUGUCAAUACAGAUGCCAUGAAAAGGACCACGGGACAAAACUCACUUUGUAAUGCAUUCCUGUUGUACCACGUGAAGGACUAGCGUGUUACGUGUGUCCACAUGAAUUUGUUCUAUGGCUAGAAGGGACAAGAUUAAUGAUCGUUUCCUGGCACAGUCCUGAAGCCUUACAGCCUACAAAUGCCUGUCUCCUGCGAUGUCUGGCUUCUCCCAUUUUUCUGAUCCUAACCUCGCGCUAAGAGAGUAGUAUGGACUUAGCUUCUGGAGGAAGUCUCCCAGUGCCCGGAAACAGUGACAGAGAGAAAAGAAGGAAUGGCAAGCCAGAUAAAGCAUGGCUUGGGACUUCUUUAUCAUUGGGGGAGAAGAUUCCCACUUACAAGUGGUAUUAAAGCCUGUGGUUAGAUUUCACCAGUGUAAAUUAUUCACGGAGAACUGCCAAGGUUUCCCUCCCUGCAGGGUGAACAGCUGCCAUUCUGCGCUCCCCUGCCUUGCUAGACUGGUGGGUUUUUUUGAAGACCAGCGCCCUCUGGGGGUUGAAGUGAGAAAAACCAAUCCAGGAAGAAAAGAGCAGCCCUUGCUGCUCUUACUUAGCGAUGAAAGCUGAGGGGCUUCGGAGAGAAACACUUUCUAGUGCCACCCUGAGUGUGAAGUGUCAUGGGACCAUGGGGUUAGUGGCUUAACUGUCUUAGGCUAAUGUGGCUUCGGCAGUAACGCUUCGCAUCCCGUGGAAGAGCCAGGUUCUCUUUCUGUGUUUUCUGUAGGGAGGUACGAGGUAUACCAAGACUCAAGACUAACCUGGGUGUGGCUGCGUGAACCUGAAACUUCUAAUACUUGGGAGGCUGAGGCAGGUGGAUCACUGAUAGUUUGAGGCCAGCCUGGACCGCAUACGAAAUUCUGGAACAGUCUAAGUUUCAGAGUGAGGUGCUGCCUCAAAAUGAAAGACUUAAGCCUUGUCAAAAAGACAGAGUGGGCGUGGUAGCAGUGUACACCUUUAAUCCCAGCACUUGGGAGGCAGAGGCAGGAGGAUCUCUUGUCACUUUGAGGCAAAUCAGAUUUCUAUAUCAGGUUCCAGGCCAGGCAGGACUACAAACUGAAACCCUGUCCUGAAGGAUGGUGAAGGUGAUGAUGAUGAUGAUGACGACGACGACGAUGACAUCGAUGACGGUGGUGAGGAGGAGGAGAAGGAGGAAAAGGAGGAAGAGGAGGAGGAGACCGCAUGACAGAAUAUGACAGAAUGGCUAUAAGACUCCUGCCAAGCAUCUCCACAGGUGUUAGGGAGAAAGCAGCCUAGUGUUUGUAAAGCACUCACUCCAUGCAGGAGUCAAACUUACCUCACUGAUUUCCUGAAGAUGAGUUCUGUCCCCUGCUUACUUUCAAACCCUUGCUUGAACUUACUGGUAAAUUAUUAAAGUGUUCCUCGGACUGUCA